CGAAAUGCGAUAAUUAAUGUGAAUUGCAGAAUUCAGUGAAUCAUCGAGUCUUUGAACGCACAUUGCGCCCCCUGGUAUUCCGGGGGGCAUGCCUGUCCGAGCGUCAUUGCUGCCCUCAAGCACGGCUUUUGUGUUGGGCUUCCGUCCCUGGCAACGGGGACGGGCCCAAAAGGCAGUGGCGGCACCAUGUCUGGUCCUCGAGCGUAUGGGGCUUUGUCACCCGCUCCCGUAGGUCCAGCUGGCAGCUAGCCUCGCAACCAAUCUUUUUAACCAGGUUGACCUCGGAUCAGGUAGGGAUACCCGCUGAACUUAAGC
rnacentral:misc_RNA from 1 species